rnacentral:rRNA from 1 species
UGGGGAAUAUUGCUCAAUGGGCGCAAGCCUGAUGCAGCCAUGCCGCGUGUAUGAAGAAGGCCUUCGGGUUGUAAAGUACUUUCAGCGGGGAGGAAGGGAGUAAAGUUAAUACCUUUGCUCAUUGACGUUACCCGCAGAAGAAGCACCGGCUAACUCCGUGCCAGCAGCCGCGGUAAUACGGAGGGUGCAAGCGUUAAUCGGAAUUACUGGGCGUAAAGCGCACGCAGGCGGUUUGUUAAGUCAGAUGUGAAAUCCCCGGGCUCAACCUGGGAACUGCAUCUGAUACUGGCAAGCUUGAGUCUCGUAGAGGGGGGUAGAAUUCCAGGUGUAGCGGUGAAAUGCGUAGAGAUCUGGAGGAAUACCGGUGGCGAAGGCGGCCCCCUGGACGAAGACUGACGCUCAGGUGCGAAAGCGUGGGGAGCAAACAGG